GAUGUUGUGGCUCAGUGGUAGAGUGAUUUCCUAGCAUGUGGGAGGCCCUGGCUUCUAUCUUCAGCACCAUAU
rnacentral:tRNA from 1 species